AGGAAAUAGGUGGGCAGGUGGGCCAAGUGAAAAUUCUUUGAAUUGAUAGCAGACUGCCCCUGGGCUCUGGAGUCAUCUGCUUCGUCACACUCUCCCUGUGGACUUCUGCUUAUCUGCAUCCACCGGAAGUCUGGAUGUAGGAAAUCAGUGAAAAGCUUCAAGCUCCUAGGCAAUGAAAGAGCCUAGAUGCCUGAAUGAUUUCAUGGAGCAGAACCAUCACUCUCUUCUACUGAUGAAUCUAUAAUAGACUAUAAGACACUACCUAUCUUCAACAGCCAAGAGAGCUGAGGAGGGGCCACCAUCAAGCUUUUUGCCAGUGCACUACCUAGGACAGAAUUUUUCAAACUGCAUUCCAUGGAGAGGCUACAAGAAGCAUCUGAGAAGAUGGGAGAAGAUACAUAAGCAUUGAAUGAAUGGGGCUCUACAUCCCCCAACUCCACUUCUGUCAUGGCAGUUCCGCUUUAUCUGCUUCACGUUAGAUUGCAUUUGGAGAAUUGUUCCAUCCUUGAAAGAGAGAGAGAAAUAAACCCCUUAUUUUGGAAGAUCCUUUGGAUCGCU